UACGUAGGGGGCUAGCGUUGUCCGGAAUCAUUGGGCGUAAAGCGCGUGUAGGCGGUCCGGUAAGUCCGCUGUGAAAGUCGGGGGCUCAACCCUCGAAUGCCGGUGGAUACUGUCGGACUAGAGUCCGGAAGAGGUGAGUGGAAUUCCCGGUGUAGCGGUGAAAUGCGCAGAUAUCGGGAGGAACACCAAUGGCGAAGGCAGCUCACUGGGACGGCACUGACGCUGAGACGCGACAGCGUGGGGAGCAAACAGG
rnacentral:rRNA from 1 species